UGCAGUUAAGCGUGCUUGGGCA
rnacentral:siRNA from 1 species